CCGGCCACGGUGGGAUUCGAACCUACGACCUUUGGAAUACUAGCCCAAUGCUCUUCCAACUGAGCUACGCGGUCUGGACGGUUCGAGUAAGUGAUAUUUCGGAACAGUAUCUAGUUCCUUCAAUACCAAUGUGUUCUUGUAAUAUGAAUUUUUUUUUUUUUUUGUGUUGGUGUUGUGUACUCAGGUGAAUAUUGUUUGUGAUGUUACUCUGAGUGCAUAUCCACACCGCGCGAGCUUGAAAAAUAUACCCGGCCACGGUGGGAUUCGAACCUACAACCUUUGGAAUACUAGCCCAAUGCUCUUCCAACAGAGCUACGCGGUCAGGACAGUUCGAGUAAGUGAUAUUUCGGAACAGUAUCUAGUUCCUUCAAUACCAAUGUGUUCUUGUAAUAUGAAUUUUUUUUUGUGUUGGUGUUGUGUACUCAGGUGAAUAAUAUGUUUGCGAUGUUACUCUGAGUGCAUAUCCACACCGGGCGAGCUUGAAAAAUAUGCCCGGCCACGGUAGGAUUUGAACCUACGACCUUUGGAAUACUGGCCCAAUGCUCUUCCAACUGAGCUACGCGGUCAGGACGGUUCGAGUAAGUGAUAUUUCGGAACAGUAUCUAGUUCCUUCAAUACCAAUGUGUUCUUGUAAUAUGAAUUUUUUUGUGUUGGUGUUG